rnacentral:misc_RNA from 1 species
GAUGAAGAACGUAGCGAAAUGCGAUAAGUAAUGCGAAUUGCAGAAUCCGUGAGUCAUCGAAUCUUUGAACGCAGAUUGCGCCCUCUGGUAUUCCGGAGGGCAUGCCUGUUCGAGCGUCAUUAUCACCCCUCAAGCCCGGCUUGUUGUUGGAUGCAGCGCUUAUCCCGCUCCUCCCAAAGAUAAUGACGGCGUCUGCGACGACUCCUGUACACUGAGCUUUCGGGCACGUACACGGCUAGAAGUCCAGACCCGGUCGCCGUCCCCCCCGCGGGGACACCCAUUACCACAAGGUUGACCUCGGAUCAGGUAGGAAUACCCGCUGAACUUAAGCAUAUCAAUAAGCGGAGGA